rnacentral:misc_RNA from 1 species
AGUCGUGACAAGGUUUCCGUAGGUGAACCUGCGAAGGAUCAUUACAAGUGCAGGCUACCGAACGCUGGAAACAGCGGUUAGGAGCUUACACCCACCCGUGUUUAGCAUACUAUUGUUGCUUUGGCGGGCCGUGGCCUCCACUGCGGGCUCUGCUCGUGUGUGCCCGCCAAGAGGACCAAACUCUGAAUGUUAGUGAUGUCCGAGUUACUAAUCUAAUAGUUAAAA